AGAAUCAACGCUGGCGGCGUGCCUCAGACAUGCAAGUCGAACGAUUAAAGCUCUCUUCGGAGAGUGUAUAGAGUGGCGCACGGGUGAGUAACACGUAAGUAAUCUGCCCUCGAGUGGGGAAUAACGUCCGGAAACGGACGCUAAUACCGCAUAAUGCAGCGGCACCGCAAGGUGACAGUUGUUAAAGAUUUAUCGCUUGAGGAGGAGCUUGCGGCAGAUUAGCUAGUUGGUAAGGUAAUGGCUUACCAAGGCUACGAUCUGUAACCGGUCUUAGAGGACGGUCGGUCACACUGACACUGAAUAACGGGUCAGACUCCUACGGGAGGCAGCAGUCGGGAAUUUUGGGCAAUGGGCGAAAGCCUGACCCAGCAACGCCGCGUGAAGGAUGAAGUAUUUCGGUAUGUAAACUUCGAAAGAAUAGGAAGAAUAAAUGACGGUACUAUUUAUAAGGUCCGGCUAACUACGUGCCAGCAGCCGC
rnacentral:rRNA from 1 species